UACGUAGGGGGCAAGCGUUGUCCGGAUUUAUUGGGCGUAAAGAGCGUGUAGGCGGCUAUACAGGUCCGUUGUGAAAACUGGAGGCUUAACCUCCAGACGUCGAUGGAAACCGUAUGGCUAGAGUCCGGAAGAGGAGAAUGGAAUUCCCGGUGUAGCGGUGAAAUGCGCAGAUAUCGGGAAGAACACCCGUGGCGAAGGCGGUUCUCUGGGACGGUGCUGACGCUGAGACGCGAAAGCGUGGGGAGCGAACAGG
rnacentral:rRNA from 1 species